rnacentral:sRNA from 1 species
ACUCUAAAUCAAAUCUUCCCCCAGAGCCUGUUCUGCCCCCAGAGGCACCUUUAUCUUCUGAAUUGGACUUGCCUCUGGGUACCCAGUUAUCUGCUGAGGAACAGAUGCCACCUUGGAACCAGACUGAGUUCCCCUCCAAACAGGUGUUUUCCAAGGAGGAAGCAAGACAGCCCACAGAAACCCCUGUGGCCAGCCAGAGCUCCGACAAGCCCUCAAGGGACCCUGAGACUCCCAGAUCUUCAGGUACAGAAUCUAAGGGUAAGCGGCCUUCACCCCUAAGUGAAAAUGUUAGUGAACUAAAGGAAGGAGCCAUUCUUGGAACUGGACGACUUCUGAAAACUGGAGGACGAGCAUGGGAGCAAGGCCAGGACCAUGACAAGGAAAAUCAGCACUUUCCCUUGGUGGAGAGCUAGGCCCUGCAUGGCCCCAGCAAUGCAGUCACCCAGGGCCUGGUGAUAUCUGUGUCCUCUCACCCCUUCUUUCCCAGGGAUACUGAGGAAUGGCUUGUUUUCUUAGACUCCUCCUCAACUACCAAACUGGGACUCACAGCUUUAUUGGGCUUUCUUUGUGUCUUGUGUGUUUCUUUUAUAUUAAAGGAAGUAAUUUUAAAUGUUACUUUAAAAA